rnacentral:misc_RNA from 1 species
GUAGGUGAACCUGCGGAAGGAUCAUUAACACGUAUCCACGUUUAAUCACCGCGAAUUCUUAGGGUAGGCUUAUUUGAGAAAAGGCCUUUACUUGGAGAAUCAAACGAAGUCUGUUCAGAAAAGCCGAACCAGAGAGCUGAUCUGUGGGACCAGAAUCUCGGGGAAGGACUUAGUAUGAGGAGGACUGCGAGUGAGGUCAAUUGACUCAAUCAAAGUGUGUCCAUCGAAUCCUACCUUGUCAGUGGGAAUU